CCGCCAUAUCCCCCACCCACCCAUCCCUCUCACAUCCCAUCUCCUCUCUUGACGUAGCUCCUCGUUGCGCCACCUCCGGCGGCUGUUUCAGGCGACAUCCGGCGAAUCCCGCCAUCAUGAAGCACAGCCUGAGGUCCCCUUACACAGCGGCACACUCCCAUGUGGCUUGAUCUGGCGCUCGCGGCCACCAAAGCUCACCCGCGACCUUCCCCCGAUGGCUAGGGUUUCGGGCGCCGGCUCCGGUGCCGGUGGCCAUGCGGUCCUCCUCUCGCCGACGUCUUGGUAUGCACCCCCGAUUCUAUUGCAGCUACUCACUGUCAAAAACGACUUUUUAGGAGUCUGAUGGUCAGGUUAUUUACGUGGAGGUAGUAGCUUGCUAAUGGUGGCUUUCACGUCCAGCUCAAAUACUAGAGGAUGUGGACCUGUUGGGGGAAGCACGUACACCUUUGUUUUAGUGGGAAGAGGGAGUAGCAGUGAUCUAAACGCUCUUAUAUUUGUUUACGGUGCGAGUACUUAUCUACUAAUCUAAAAAAAGGUUUCCAAAGGAAGAAAUACUCAAUGCCAUUCGGUGGUUUUCAAUGUGCCAUUCUCUACAUUCACAGCACUAUCGAGAUUGAGGCGAACAUCAUAGACGACUGGAGCUGCGAGUAGAUUUGUCCAAGAUACGACAGUGUUCGUAGUCAUGGUUCUGAUUUAAAAGAUAUAUGGACGCUUAUAUGGGUGCCUGGCAGGUAUACUACAAUGAUGAUGAUGUUCUGGUUCACGAUGAUGGCUGUUUUUAGUUUUUGUUAUGAUGGCUGUUUUCAGUUUUAGUUAAUUUGUAGGGAUGCUAUUCCUGUUGGAUGAUGUUCCUUGGUUAAGUUUUAGUGAAGUUGUAGGGAUGUUGGUGGAUGCUUUCACAUUUGGAAGUUAUUCCUCCUGUAAUAUUAACAAUUGUAAUCCCAUAGUUUUUUCAAUAUAUGAUUUC